rnacentral:tRNA from 1 species
UUUUUUAAAGCGAAAUAUCGCAAUAAGUUUCGACCUUAUUUUUUAUCUUUGAUAUAAAAAAA